rnacentral:lncRNA from 1 species
GUGCACCACCGUACCCGGCUAAUUUUUUUUGUAUUUUUUGUAGUAGAGACGGGGUUUCACCAUGUUGGCCAGGCUGGUCUCGAACUCCUGACCUCAGGUGAUCUGCCUGCCUCAGCCUCCCAAAGUGCUGGUGUGGGCCACUGUGCCCGGCCUGAACUUAUAUUUUAAAAUUGAGCAAUGCAACCUAAAAAUCCAGAUUUCCAGCUUCUUUUGAAAACUGGCAGAUUAAAGCAGCCCUGGGCCCACUUCCUGCCCACUCUUGGUGCUAAGAGCCCCCUGGACAGCCCCUGCCCCACUGACAAGGGGUACAUCACACCUGCUUUGUGUUUCUUAGUGCGGAGAAGGAAAUCUAUCAAAAGUGAGACUGAAAGCAGCUGGCCUAGCCUGUCAGUUACAUGCUCAGCCAGGACACGUCUGAGUUUGAGGUCCCUGGUGUAGGGGAAGUGCUCUGUAGCCUCAAAGCACAAAUGUGGGGCGCAUUACACAGGCUGCCCAGUGGGAACUGUGUGCCCUGGUGGAGGAGGGGAAUCAAAGGACAGAAGGGGAGUGGGAAGGAAGAACUGUGGUCACAGAGGGGCCACACAGCCCCAAAUUUCUUAGUGGCCCCACCUGCCUCUGCUCUCAGGCUGGUUCCUUGGUAGCCCUGUAGAUUCUGGGCCUGUGAGUGAACCAGCCCCUCUUCCACCUGGAAUGCCUCCCAGCUGUCCCUUGUCUCACUUCUUCCAACGGGGCCUCUCAGACCCACCCUCUUCUCUGCCACCUGGGUUCCUGCUGACAGACCCACUCAAUAGCAACGGAUCAUGUGUCCUGGGGCAUCUCUUAUACUGUCAUCUCGUAUCACAAAUUGUCAUAGGUGUGCAAGUUUCUUAUCUCUCCAACUAGCUGAGAGCUCCUCCGGUUCUGGGACUGCAUCUCCCACUUUGCUGUGCAGCCCAGCACUGUGCUCUGCAUUCAACAGGGACUCAGGAUUCCCCAUAUGUAUUGGAAAAUGGAUUGAAUGGAGCGAUAAAGUGAGGUCUUAACUCUAUUUCCCAAAACAGGGUCCUCUGCAUACAGUGGGAUCCACAGUCCCCAGUGUGUGCUGAAUGACUGAGUCAGGAGGGAGAGGAUGAGAAUACAAGGGCAGCGGCUGUGAC